rnacentral:rRNA from 1 species
UGGGGAAUAUUGCACAAUGGGCGAAAGCCUGAUGCAGCAACGCCGCGUGAGUGAUGAAGGUCUUCGGAUUGUAAAGCUCUGUCUUUUGGGACGAUAAUGACGGUACCAAAGGAGGAAGCCACGGCUAACUACGUGCCAGCAGCCGCGGUAAUACGUAGGUGGCGAGCGUUGUCCGGAUUUACUGGGCGUAAAGGGUGCGUAGGCGGAUGUUUAAGUGAGAUGUGAAAUACCCGGGCUUAACUUGGGUGCUGCAUUUCAAACUGGAUAUCUAGAGUGCAGGAGAGGAGAAUGGAAUUCCUAGUGUAGCGGUGAAAUGCGUAGAGAUUAGGAAGAACACCAGUGGCGAAGGCGAUUCUCUGGACUGUAACUGACGCUGAGGCACGAAAGCGUGGGUAGCAAACAGGAUUAGAUACCCUGGUAGUCCACGCCGUAAACGAUGAGUACUAGGUGUAGGAGGUNUCGACCCCUUCUGUGCCGCAGUAAACACAUUAAGUACUCCGCCUGGGAAGU